GAUUCCUUUAAAUUAGUCCUGUGAGGCUGAUAAGGUUAUUCUUGCUAGAGUUUAAGCUCCUUAUUGGGUUCCCGGUAAGGAGCUUUUUUA
rfam:Halobacteroidaceae bacterium T328-2 scaffold_428, whole genome shotgun sequence.